CCUACUGGAGACAUCAUUGGGGUAUCUUGCACAAUGGGGGGAACCCUGAUGCAGCGACGCCGCGUGGGUUCCUUCUCUUUUCUUCUCUUCCCUCCCUCUCUUCCUUUCCUCCUAUUCCUUUACCUUCCCAAGAAGCCCCGGCUAACUACGUUCCAUCAUCCGCUUUAAUACGUAGGGUGCCCUCUUUAUCCUGAUUUACUUUUUUGAAAGGGGGCGCAGACGGCAAUGCAAGCCAGGAGUGAAAGCCCGGGGCCCAACCCCGGGACUGCGAUUGGAACUGCAUGGCUGGAGUACAGGAGGGGCAGGCGGAAUUCCUAGUGUAGCGGUGAAAUGCGUAGAGAUUAGGAGGAACACCGGUGGCGAAGGCGGCCUGAUGGACUGUGAAUGAAGUUGAGGCACGAAGGCGGGGGGAGAAAACAGGAUGAGAGAAAAGAGGAGUC
rnacentral:rRNA from 1 species